rnacentral:lncRNA from 1 species
CUCCCAAGUGCUGGGGGUUAGAGGCACAAGCCACUAAGCCUGGCUUCCUUCCAAUCUUUUGCCAGGCUGGAGAUAGAGCCCAGGGUCUUAUGCAUGCCAGCCCUCAGACCGGAGCGUGAUGCAUGUAAAUGCUCAGGAAGACAUCUACAUCUUGCAAAAGGGUGAAGCAACUAUGGGAAGUGGAUACUCACAUACCCAGCCCUCAGCCCUAUAGGUGCAAUCACACUCUGGCCCA